rnacentral:misc_RNA from 1 species
UCAAACUUGGUCAUUUAGAGGAAGUAAAAGUCGUAACAAGGUAACCGUAGGUGAACCUGCGGUUGGAUCAUUAAAAAUUUGGUUUCAUACCAAACACUGUGUGCAUCGGAUUUGUCUCUGGCGAUGGUGCUUCGUCUUAAACAUGUUAUUCUUUGGCUUACAAAGGGUAGCCUCUGGCCAUCGCCAACAGUAUGUCACAAGACAUCCCUUUGCGGGGGUCGUCUUGAGUCAUACUAAAAUAAACCUUAUAAUUUUUUGUCUGAUUUUUUUUAUUAUAAUAAUAAACAACUUUUGACAACGGAUCUCUUGGCUCUCGCAUCGAUGAAGAACGCAGC